CGUAGGUGGCAAGCGUUGUCCGGAAUUACUGGGUGUAAAGGGAGUGUAGGCGGGAUAUCAAGUCAGAAGUGAAAAUUACGGGCUCAACUCGUAACCUGCUUUUGAAACUGACAUUCUUGAGUGAAGUAGAGGCAAGCGGAAUUCCUAGUGUAGCGGUGAAAUGCGUAGAUAUUAGGAGGAACACCAGUGGCGAAGGCGGCUUGCUGGGGCUUUUACUGACGCUGAGGCUCGAAAGCGUGGGGAGCAAACAGGAUU
rnacentral:rRNA from 1 species